UUAAAGGAAUUGACGGAAGGGCACCACCAGGAGUGGAGCCUGCGGCUUAAUUUGACUCAACGCGGGGAAACUCACCCGGCCCGGACACCGUAAGGAUUGACAGACUGAGAGCUCUUUCUUGAUUCGGUGGAUGGUGGUGCAUGGCCGUUCUUAGUUGGUGGAGCGAUUUGUCUGGUUAAUUCCGAUAACGAACGAGACUCUGGCCUACUAAAUAGUCGGAAGAUCGCCUGUUUUCCGUACUUCUUAGAGGGACAGAAGGCUUCUAGCCUUACGAGAUUGAGCAAUAACAGGUCUGUGAUGCCCUUAGAUGUCCGGGGCUGCACGCGCGCUACACUGAAGGAAUCAACGAGUUUGCUUCCUGCUUCGAAAGGAGUGGGUAACCCGUUGAAACUCCUUCGUGAUUGGGAUAGGGGCUUGUAAUUAUUCCCCUUGAACGAGGAAUUCCUAGUAAGCGCGGGUCAACAUCUCGUGUUGAUUACGUCCCUGCCCUUUGUACACACCGCCCGUCGCUACUACCGAUGGAUGAUUUAGUGAGGCGCUCGGACCGGCGUCAUAGCGGCCGAAAGGCUGCCCUGACGAUUGGAAAGAGAACCUAACUGCAUCAUCUAGAGGAAGUAAAAGUCGUAACAAGGUUUCC
rnacentral:rRNA from 1 species